ensembl:lncRNA
UGUGUGUGUGUGUGUGAGAAAGCAUGUGACUGAUGAGCACAUUCAGGAGGGAGGAAGCCCUCCACUAUUAAACUGCCAGAAUACCUCGCACAAGUUUCCACUGACCUGAAUUGCGCAUCUAUAACCAUGCCAAAGCAAACACAGUUUUAAAAGAGAUAAUUAAAAGAGAGUGUUGCUUGGAAAAUUUCUGAAGCCAGCAGGAUGAGUAAUGGCACCAAUAGCACAGCAGCACAAGGCAAAAAUGGGGACAUUUUUAGAUUCCAGGCCUGACUCGAACAUUGAAGGAGGCACUUUUCGCAUGAGUGAUCUCAAAUGUAAUUCAGACCUUGAUAAUCCUAAUAACGACAUCAUCAGUCAAUCAAACAACUUACAAAACUAUACUGCAUGCGAUGAUGAUUCGUCCUCUACUAGCUCCGAGAGCUUGUGUCAUUCAUAUGGAGAUAAACACAAUGACAAUAACCAGCAAUAUAUGAGUUUGAAAACCACCCUUCAAAGUGCAGAUUAUGAAAAUAUUCCUGAAGGAAAAUCCACCAGCGCACUAGAUUAUGAAAAUAAGAAGGCAAAGAAAAACCGAGACUAUGUAAAUGUAGAAGAACAGCAGAAUAUGCCUUUAACUAAGGGCAGAAGAAGCAAAACUGACAGGCAUCAAGAAGACCAGGAUGAGAGUCAAACCAGCAGUGAGAGCAGCAGCGACGAGAGCGACGACCAGUCUAUAAAUUACAGCAUGGUUGUCUUUAAAGAAGCCACAAAUACAGUCAAAAGAGAGCACUGAAGCUGCUUUUCUGCUUCAAGAUGUUUUUAAUAAUAUUUCAUUUGCUUUUUAUCUUUUUUUUUUUACUGCAUUCUGUCAGUGGUGCAGUCAAUAAUCAUAUACUAGCUCAAUCAUGACUUAACAACAUGCUCUAAAAUGACUGCUUUUAUUUUCAGUGCUGGUUUCAUUUGUCAGGUGCUUUUGAAUGUGAGGUAUAAUGUGCAUUUUCACCAUAUAUGGUAAAAGAGACCUAAUUUUAGGUACAAGACCUGCAUUAUGUUUUUGAUCUGAUAAAUGUAGUCUGUGGUACUGAUUGUAAUCAUAAUAUCCUGUAAAGCAGGAACCACCGCGUGCAGCUAAGCAGGGUGGCAAGAUGAAAGGCUUAUUUUCAGUUUCUGUAUUUCUGUGUGCUAGUAAUUAGUCUAUUUCAUAUACUUUGAGUUUUUUCUAUGCAAACAUUACAGUUUUAUUCAGUCAAGCUUGUUAUUGUUAUAAAAUGCUGAACUUGUACAAAGUUUUUUUUUUAUUAUUGUUUUAUUGUACCAGUUUAGUUUCAGUUAUUUUUAUGGUAGUGUAUUGGAGUAUUCAUCUAUAAGUACAUUUGGAUUUCUUUGGAUUUUUGAUUUGAGGAUUAAUCUUUUAUUGUCACAGGUCUUAUGUUCAAUUUCUAAUCACUGGAAAACACCCAUUUUUUUCAUACUGAAUUCUACAUACAAAAAAUACAAAAAAUAUCUUCC